AUCCCUUGUAGAUCUUAUUAAAAAUGCAGAUUCUGAUUCAGAAGGUGGAACCUGAGAUUCUGCAUUUCUAACAAGUUCCCAGGUGAUG
rnacentral:miRNA from 1 species